rnacentral:rRNA from 1 species
AUUGAACGCUGGCGGUAGGCUUAACACAUGCAAGUCGAGCGGUAACAGACAUUUUGAUUUUGCUUGCAAAAUCUCGUGCUGACGAGCGGCGGACGGGUGAGUAACGCGUAGGAAUCUACCUAGUAGAAGGGGAUAGCCCGAGGAAACUCGGAUUAAUACCGUAUACGUCCUUAGGGAGAAAGAGGGCUGAGCUUGAUGCUCUCGCUAUUAGAUGAGCCUGCGUAAGAUUAGCUUGUUGGUGAGGUAAAGGCUCACCAAGGCUACGAUCUUUAGCUGGUCUGAGAGGACGAUCAGCCACAUUGGGACUGAGACACGGCCCAGACUCCUACGGGAGGCAGCAGUGGGGAAUAUUGGACAAUGGGCGCAAGCCUGAUCCAGCCAUACCGCGUGUGUGAAGAAGGCUUUCGGGUUGUAAAGCACUUUAAGUGAGGAAGAAAAGAUAAUAGUUAAUACCUGUUAUCCGUGACAUUACUCACAGAAUAAGGACCGGCUAAUUCCGUGCCAGCAGCCGCGGUAAUACGGAAGGUCCAAGCGUUAAUCGGAAUUACUGGGCGUAAAGCGCGCGUAGGUGGUUUAUCAAGUUGGUUGUGAAAGCCCCGGGCUUAACCUGGGAACUGCAGCCAAAACUGAUUCACUAGAGUACGAAAGAGGAAAGUAGAAUUCACAGUGUAGCGGUGGAAUGCGUAGAUAUUGUGAAGAAUACCAAUUGCGAAGGCAGCUUUCUGGUUCUGUACUGACACUAAGGUGCGAAAGCGUGGGGAGCGAACAGGAUUAGAUACCCUGGUAGUCCACGCCGUAAACGAUGACAACCAGCUGUUGGGAAGCAAUGCUUUUCAGUGGCGCAGCUAACGUCUUAAGUUGUCCGCCUGGGGAGUACGGCCGCAAGGCUAAAACUCAAAUGAAUUGACGGGGACCCGCACAAGCGG